UCAAUGUAACAAUUUUUUUCUCUCUCUCUUGUUUACAUUCAUGUCAACAAUUUCUCAUUAAUUGUUUUCUUUUUUUUUCUCCUCAGGUAAAAGUUACAAUUUCGAUGAUUAAAUUGAAACAAUUAACGGAAUGUAAGGUGUUAAUUAUAUUCUCUUCUCUCUGGUACAAUUGUGUAACUCUUGACGUUACCUGGCGAUGAUUGGAAAAGGUCAAUACAAACAAUUGAUUCUCUUUGAGUUUUCUGGUCAAGUAAAAUGGAGACGAGAAAAAGAAAAGGAGAUCAAUGUGAGAAGAUGAGGAUCAACGUUAGAUUUAUUUGACCAAAGCUUUUGGACUAAAUGACUUGUUUACGCCUUUUAGAUGAUAAUGAUGACCAUCAUCAUGAUCAACAUCAUGGAACCAAAAUGUGUAUUAAAAGAGGAAAAUUAGAUCAACUAGAAGAUGAUGAUAAGAUGUGAAGGACCAAAGGGUUUAUUUAGGAGAAGAGAAAAUGUUGAUUGUUCCAAAUAAGAUAAUCAAACAUUCAAUGAUUUCUCUGUGUUCUAAAUUAACUGAAUAGAAAUUGAUUUCCAUCAAUUCUCAGUUCAAUACCUAAUCAGAAAACGAUAAAUUAUCAUCAUCUUCAUCAUCUACUUCAUGUUACAAUAUAUUCAUUAUUGUUUGUUGUUUACAAACAAAAUGAACAAUUUCAUUUCCAAUAUUCCAAUGGAAACCUGAUUAUCUCUCUUUCUCACUUUCUUGUUUCCUUUACCUUCAUUAGUUAAUUUCUAAUUUUUGUUUCUCCAUUUUCUUUUUUCUUUUAAGGUUAAAAAACUUUGGCCAUUUUGAUAUCUCACCUUGAUAUCAGUUUCCUUUUCCUCCUUGGAGCUAUUUACCAUCAUCUCUAUUCAACAACAAUACUAAAAGAUUAUUAGGUCAAAGUGGAAAUGUUAUCGUGUCUCUUUGAUCUGAUUACUUUUCUAUCAUGAUUGAGAAAACAUCUACUGGAUAUAACCAAUCUUAAAUAUCUUCCAUGUCAAAUCUACCAUAUAAUUUUGUUGACAUUAAUCAGCUCAACUCUAUCAUCAUCAUCAUCAUCAUCAUCAUUUCUGUCUCUAGUUACACUUGAUCUUUAUUGUCUCUGAUAAUUUUCAUCAAUUUCUUUCUUCUUCCUUAUUAUUAUACCUGUUAUAAUGAUGAUAUUUUCUUUACCUUAAGUCACGUUGAAAGUGUUCUUGUAAUAAUGAGAUAACACAAUUAACUGAUUAACUCAGAUAAAACAUAGACAAAAGCUAAAAGGGUGAGGUCAAAAGUCCUACACUCUCUCUCCAUCAUAAUUGAACAUCAUCAUAAUCAUGAUGAUCACCUUAAUCCUUUUACACAACCUAUUAGAUUACCUUAACUGUUGCUGUUUAUAUAUAAUCAACCUAAUUCCUAAGCUAUUUCCAUGUGAAUUCUGGUUAAUACUUAUAAACUUAACCCAUGGUAUCAAAUUUUAAUCAGACUAACAACAAAUUUGCUUUUUAAUAUUUAAUGAUUCAUAUCCCUUUUCUCACAGGUAAACAAAUGUACAUUGGAUUAUCAUGGAUUCUCAUCAGCAUCAGCAAUGAACAUGGAAUAAGAUUUGAUCCUGGUUACAUCAUUUCCUUUUUCUUCUGUAAAUUCUUACCUAGAAUAAUGAAAACGUUCAUCCCAUGGAAACAGGAAAAGUUCAUAUAUAUAAAUUGUUACCAUGAUGAUGAUUUAAACCAUUAGCACGUUGGAGAUAAAGUUCUUGGAUGAAUCAACAUGAGAAAGAAAAACAAAAAUAGUGUCAAGUUUUUCCUCAUCUCUCUCUCUCUCUCUCUCUCUCUCUCUCUCUCUCUCUCUCUCUCUACCAAAAGUAUAAACUAUAAUUUAUCAGAAAUCAUCAUGUAUAUAAACACGCCAUGAAGUUUCAGGAGGAAUGAAGAUUGUUCAAUCUUAAAGAUGGAUUAGCCCUUGGAGAUUACAUUUUCCUGAUGAUUUACCCUUUUUUUCAUCAGCAUCUUCUUGGUGUAAUUUCAUUUUUAUGAAGACCAUUCAUCAGUCUGUGUCCUCACCCAGGAUUAAAGGAGAAACAGUGUUAAUCUAAUUUUAUUUCUUCGAAUUGAAUUCGAAGUAAAUAAAGACGAAAACUCUUAUUAUCAUUUCUAGUUGAAUAACAAUCAAGUGAAAUGAGGUAAAAACUUUUCUCAUCUACUAUAUAAGUCUACUAGUAUACACUUCAUGUUGAAAUUAAUACAAAGUAUUACGAUAAUCUAUAGUUUAGAAAAUGAUUUUCUCAAUGAAUUUGUUUUCCAAACAAACUCGUACAUUAGAUUGUACAAUCUUCCUAUUUAUCAUGUUUCUAUUUCAAUACAAAUUGAUUGUCACCAUUAAGGUGUAUUAAUACAAUCAUAAACCUUUUACUUGGUUUAAUGAUCUCAAAUAAUAGUCUUUGAAUCAACAGAAUCACCGAGGAGAUAAUAGGAUGCACCAUGAUGGAACUGAAAUGAUUACCUUUUUUUCAUCGUAUCGAUAUUAAUUCACCUGAAUCUCUCUCUCUCUCUUUUCGUCUUCUCUUCUUCAUCAUUUCUUGUUCUGAGAUAAACUCAAUUCCUGAAGAAUCUGAGAGAUGCUUAUUAAUUGAAUUUAAAAGUUAAUUUGAUAGAACCUGACAAGGUGAAUAACUAUUUCCUUGUGAUGAUGAGAUGAUCUUCAUCUAUGGGUCGCUUUGUAUUUGUCUCUUUUUUUACCUGAAAUAUGAGAGUUAAUGAGACGAAAAGAGGCAAAUAGAAAAGACCAUGUUUUCAGUGAUUAAUGGUGACGCCAUUGGAAUCGCCUGAGGACUUGUGAUAAUUUUCAUCAUCAACUUAUUCUAAAUAUUUUCCAUCAAUGGGAUUACAGGAAUAGGAAGGAUACAAAAAAAAGAUGCGAAUCAUUUAUUGGUCAUCCUGGACGAUGGAUGAGGAAAAAGGAUUGACCUUUCAUCUCAGUGGGUUUUGGAACCUGGAAGAUGCGUUGACAUGGGAAAGAACAACAAAUCAACUACAUAACUUGGCGAUCAUGUUAAUAGUGUUUAAUUGUAAAAGAAUCUUGAUAAUUAUUCAAGAUGACUUUUUCCCUGUUUCCAGUUCUCAUCUUUUUUUUGGAUAAUAAUAAUUCUCUAUCACCAUUUCCACUGAGUAACAUUAACCGAUGGAUGAACAAGUCUCACUGUUUUUGGAUCUUCAUCUGAUUUCUCCUGAGAUUCAUGGAUAAUGAAUUGAAUCAACCAGUUUCAAAUAUCGUUUAUUUUUCUCCAAUCAAAUCAACCCUCAGGCCUAUUGAUCGACUCUUUUACCUUUUUUCACUCUCCUGGUCACUCAAUCCAUUCAAUUUCCUUUCUAUAUCCAGGGAGACAAAUCUACUGAUGGUCAAGUUUACUCUCCAUCAACAACUGGACAUCGUUUCAUGGAUCAAUUGAAGGUGUAUUUUCAUACCAUUAACAGGAAGAAAGGUUGUUGAUUUUUUCUUAUCACCUUUUUUUGUUUCUUCUAUUCAAUCAUGGUGAUGGAUCAUGAUGAUCAAUUCUUACACUGGAAGAUACUGCAUGUAAUUGAAGGAAAAACAUGACAAUAACCACUGAGUAAAACAAAACAUCCUCUUGAAACUGAAUUUUUCGUAUUACAAGUAUAUAUACAUAUACUUUUUGCUUGGUUUUAUUAUUGUCAUUAAGCCCCAAAGGCAUUGAAAAAGACGAAGGUACAAUCAAACCCAUCAAGUAUUUAAUUUGAUUACAUGUUCUUUGUCUUUGAUUGACACUUUCAAGUGAAUCUCUGUUCACUUUGUUAUAUCUACAUGAUGUCCACACUAUUAAAUGAGGAAAAAACUUCUACCUCAUGAUAAUAUACACAAGAAAAUCAUUAUUAUAUCAAAUGAAACCUGAUUAACUUGUGACCAGUUAAAAGCAAAUCCAAACUCAGGCCUCAUCACAUGGAUUAAAAAAGUUCUUAAUCUUAUUUCAAAUCAAAUGACAGUUUAUUUACUUGUGAGAAUGACAAAGUAACAACAUUAUCAUGGAUUCAAUUUUUUCUGACCCUUUCACCAAAGAAUCGUAAUGGAAACCGAUAAGCUGAAUACAUUCAAUGAAGAGCUUAAAGCGACAGUAUUUUAUUUUUCCUGCAUUUGAAUUAAUUAUGAA